CGGGCUGUGGUAUAACGGUAUUACGCACGCUUCGGGUGCGUGUAAUCCGGGUCCAAUUCCCGGCAGCCCGA
rnacentral:tRNA from 2 species